rnacentral:lncRNA from 1 species
CCCCCAUCCCCCAUCCCCCAUGGCAGGAGAAACAGUCAAGUUUUUCCUGCCCAUCACUCAAUGGCUCAAUCGCAUCGCUCUCCCGGCAACACCGUAACGAGGAGCAACUUGCCGUUUGGAUAUAUCCUAGCUGUGUUUGUGCCCUCACUCAUGGUCCACACUUUUUUCAAAUAGGACAUGUAGUUUGUCUGCAGCGAGUGUUUUGGUAGAAACUGCGCCUCCCAUUCAUUAUAAUGGGAAAUGACCACAGACAAGUGCGCACACCAUCUUUGGACCUUGAGUGUGACGCGAUCGGGAGGGGGAGGCGGUCGCACUGGGGGCGGCGCAACGCGGCUCGGGCCCGCCAGUGCCCCAACGGGGCCCUAGUUAGGGCCCGAGCGUAGCUGCUAAGCAGCUGCGAGAGCCCUCUUGUUCCUGUAGUUUCCUUCUUUUGUUAUUAUUAUUAUUUUUCCUCCCCUUUGAACUGGAAAAUGGCCCACUUCCCACUGGCGAAAACUCAUGAUAUUUGGCAGGACGACCGGGCCUGGUGAAAAAUUUGAUUUUCUGAAGUCGCCCAAACAAGAAAAUGCAAAAUGGCUCCAUAGCGCCCCCUAAGGUGAAAAUUCACACUAUUGACUGUCACGCCUGUACGCUUUGUCAAAAUGACACAAAAAUUGACACACACAUGUAUCUCAAUAAGAUCUACAAAAAAGUCAGUGCGGGCGUAUCUGUCAAAUGUACGGUUAAAGGGUUAUUUCGCAUUUUUUGCCGAUCCGCACACAUUGGAAUUUCGCUAACUCCUCCGAAGGCUUUCGUUCCACCGGCACCACAUUUGCUCAGGCCAAUCUACACCCCAUGGCCAUUAAAAGUUAUUCAAAUUGAGACGCUGCACCCCACGGUUUAGGUUCUAGGGGGCGCCAAAGAUAACCCUAAAAUCCACAUAUUUAAAAGUCUUAUAACUUUUUAUUUUUGCCCUCACUGGCCUCCAAGUUUUCUAGGAUGAUGCAAUGUCCAGCCAUCAACACAUUUGUGAAGGAAUUUUUACUCCCCAAAAGAGCGCCCCCCCAUGGCAGGAGAAAAAAGUCCAUUUUUUCUUGACCCCUAAGGUGAAAAUACACAUUGUUGAGUGUCAUGCCUGUACGCUUUGGCAAAAUGACACAAAAAUUGACACACACGUGUAUCUCAAUAAGAUCUACGAAAAAGUCCAUGCGCGCGUACCUGUCAAAUGUACGGUUAAAGGGUUAUUCCGCAUUUUUUGCCGAUCCGCACACAUUGGAAUUUCGCUAACUCCUCCGAAGGCUUUCGUUCCACCGGCACCACAUUUGCUCAGGCCAAUCUACACCCCAUGGCCAUUAAAAGUUAUUCAAAUCAUGACGCUGCACCCCACGGUUUAGGUUCUAGGGGGCGCCAAAGAUAACCCUAAAAUCCACAUAUUUCAAAGUCUUAUAACUUUUUAUUUUUGUCCUCACUGGCCUCCAAGUUUUCUAGGAUGAUGCAAUGUCCAGCCAUCAACACAUUUGUGAAGGAAUUUUUACUCCCCAAAAGAGCGCCCCCCCAUGGCAGGAGAAAAAGUCAAUUUUUUCUUGUCCCGUAAGGUGAAAAUUCACAUUGUUGAGUGUGACACCUGUACGCUUUGUCAUAUUGACACAAAAUUUGACAAUCACGUGUAUCUCAAUAAGAUCUACGAAAAAGUCAAUGCACGCGUAUCUGUCAAAUAUAUGGUUAGAGGGCUAUUUUGCAUUUUUUGCCGAUUCGCACACAUUGGAAUGUGGCUAACUCCUCCUAAGGCUUUCGUCCCACUGAAACCAAAUUUGCUCAGGCCAAUCUACACCCCAUGGCCAUUCAAAGUUGUAAAAAUCAUGACGCUGCACCCCACGGUUUACGUUCUAGGGGGCGCCAAAGAUGACCCAAAAAUCCACAUUAUUAAAAGAAUCCACAUUCCCCCCCCCCCCCAUGGCACGAGAAAAAGUCAAGUUUUUCCUGCCCAUCGCUCAAUGGCUCAAUCGCAUCGCUCUCCAGGCAAAACCGUAAGGAGGAGCAACCUGCCAUUUGGAUAUAUAUCCCAGCUGUGUUUGUGCCCUCACUCAUGGUCCAGACUUUUUUCAAAUAGGACAUGAAGUUUGUCUGCAGCGAGUGUUUUGGUAGAAACUGCGCCUCCCAUUCAUUAUAAUGGGAAAUGACUACAGACAAGUGCGCACACCAUCUUUGGACCUUGAGUGUGACGCGAUUGGGAGGGGGAGGCGGUCGCGCUGGGGGCGGCGCGACGCGGCUCGGGCCCGACAGUGCCCCACCGGGGCCCUAGUCUUUGUUUCUUUCUUUCUUUUUUCUUUUUCCUCCCCUUUGAACUGGAAAAUGGCCCACUUCCCACUGGCGAAAACUCAUGAAAUUUGGCAGGACGACCGGGCCUGGUGAAAAAUUCGAUAUUCUGAAGUCGCCCAAACAAUAAAAUGCAAAAUGGCUCCAUAGCGCCCCCUAAGGUGGAAAUUCACACUAUUGACUGUCACGCCUGUACGCUUUGUCAUAUUGACACAAAAAUUGACACACAUAUGUAUCUCAAUAAGAUCUACAAAAAAGUCAGUGCGGCCGUAUCUGUCAAAUGUACGGUUAAAGGGUUAUUUCGCAUUUUUUUCCGAUCCGCACACAUUGGAAUUUCGCUAACUCCUCCGAAGGCUUUCGUUCCACCGGCACCACAUUUGCUCAGGCCAAACUACACCCCGUGGCCAUUAAAAGUUAUCAAAAUCAUGACGCUGCACUCCAAGGUUUAGGUUCUAGGGGGCGCCAAAGAUAACACUAAAAUCCACAUAUUUAAAAGUCUUAUAACUUUUUAUUUUUGUCCUCACUGGCCUCCAAGUUUUCUAGGAUGAUGCAAUGUCCAGCCAUCAACACAUUUGUGAAGGAAUUUUUACUCCCCAAAAGAGCGCCCCCCCAUGGCAGGAGAAAAAAGUCCAUUUUUUCUUGUCCCCUAAGGUGAAAAUACACAUUGUUGAGUGUCACGCCUAUACGCUUUGUCAAAAUGACACAAAAAUUGACACACACAUGUAACUCAAUAAGAUCUACGAAAAAGUCAAUGCGCGCGUAUCUGUCAAAUGUACGGUUAAAGGGUUAUUCCGCAUUUUUUGCCGAUCCGCACACAUUGGAAUUUCGCUAACUCCUCCGAAGGCUUUCUGUCCACCGGCACCACAUUUGCUCAGGCCAAUCUACACCCCGUGGCCAUUAAAAGUUAUCAAAAUCAUGACGCUGCACCCCAAGGUUUAGGUUCUAGGGGGCGCCAAAGACAACCCUAAAAUCCACAUAUUUAAAAGUCUUAUAACUUUUUAUUUUUGUCCUCACUGGCCUCCAAGUUUUCUAGGAUGAUGCAAUGUCCAGCCAUCCACACAUUUGUGAAGGAAUUUUUACUCCCCAAAAGAGCGCCCCCCCAUGGUAGGAGAAAAAAGUCAAUUUUUUCUUGUCCCCUUACAUGAAAAUACACAUUGUUGAGUGUCACGCCUGAACGCUUUGUCAUAUUGACACAAAAAUUGACAAUCAUGUGUAUCUCAAUUAGAUCUACGAAAAAGUCAAAGAGCGCGUAUCUGUAUAAUGUACGGUUAAAGGGCUAUUUUGCAUUUUUUGCCGAUUCGCACACAUUGGAAUGUGGCUAUCUCCUCCUAAGGCUUUCGUCCCACCGAUACCAAAUUUGCUCAGGGCAAUCUACACCCCAUGCCCAUUCAAAGUUGUAAAAAUCAUGAUGCUGCACCCCACGUUUUACGUUCUAGGGGGCGCCAAAGAUGACCCAAAAAUCCACAUUCUUAAAAGUCAUUUUGGCCACUGCAGGAGUACAGAGUACUGCAGUUCUAGGGGGCGCCAAAGAUGACCCAAAAAUCCACAUUCUUAAAAGUCUUUUUGGCCACUGCAGGAGUACAGAGUACUGCAGGAUACACACACAUAUACACACACGCCAACAUACACACACACACACACACACACACACACACAGACACACACACACACACUCAGAGUCUGUUUUUUAGCACCUGCAAAAACAUGCUGUUUACAUAUUUGACAAGAAUGCAGAGGCUUCCUUUUGCCCCUGAUAAAAAUCAAAUUUCAAACACAACUUGACUGUUCAUUUCUCCAAAAGACAACCAUGAAGCUCCAUUUCAAACCUGAAGCAGAUAGUUGGUGCAUGUGUACAGUAACCUGAGGGGAGUGAGGUGACUAUUUCUGAGGAGAACAUGAGCAGUGAAGAUUCACCUUGGAGCUAGAACAGGGACGUGCACAUGAUUAUACAGGGGCAGGGGCUCAAGUUUUUUCCAGUAAUUUAUACAAUAUGGAAAUUAAUGUGAAAUUAAACCACAAAUAUGUGUGAUGAACUGUUUUUAAAACUUAAACUUCAAAUAAAAAUUGUAAACUUCAAAACAUAUGCAAAUUUUUAACAAAGAACAUAGUAAUUUACCUCUAUUUACACCAAAAUGCAGGCAAUGGCCCAGGCGUUCUUUGUAAAAUUAUUUACAAAACACUGUAUAGUCUCACAAAUGUCACUUUUUAUUUAUGCCACUACAAAAAAACAUGAUGUAAAUGAUGCAUGAUGUAAAACAUGAUGUAAAAAACUUGUGUAGAUCCUCCUCUAUGUCAGUCCAUGUGUAAUUUUUCCAUAAUUCUUUGUUUUUUGCAGCAUUUUUGUUAGUGUAACUGCAGAUUGUGCUGACAGUGUCUAUGGCACAAAAAAAAAAAAAAUUAAAAUGCCUCAACAUGAACCCCUGGUGGUCUCUGAGGGUGAAACCUGCUAACUGCUGCAGCUCUGUCAGCUUCAGUCUCCCAUGCAGAGCUCGGAGCGCAUGUGUGGCUCUGCACCCUUAGCAGCGUUGCUAACUCCUCAGUAAGGAAAGCCUGCUUCAUGUCAGAGUCUCUAAACUCCAGAAGAAGUCGAUAAAAGUCCCUUUCUUUCUAAAAAAAAGUCGUUAGGGGGUCUGAAAAAUCAUUGAAUCUAACAACAAAGUCGCUAGGUUUGCAACUACGUGUCCCAGACUGCAUCCCUGCUGAGAGUCCCUCCCUCCCUUCUCAUGUUGCAGGAAGAACGUAAGCGCCCGCCCCUUGUCAAUCAGUCACCAUAUAAUUUUGGAUUGGUUGUUGUGGUGAAGUUUUCCACCAAUAGGAGAGAUGUUGUGGUGUGUAUUUUUUUUCCUUUGGCAAGCCUUUUCCGCCUGUAAGACCUGUCGCUAAUGUCUGCAUGCUAUGUUUUCCUGUCUCAUUCAGCGCGAUCGAGCGCCGAACGUGAUCAAAAUAAGCAGAAAACAAGUAUCGCGGACAUAAUUUAUCAUAACUCUGGUUUUAUUUGGCCUAUCAACACAAUUUAAAAACUGGUAUAUAGGUUGAGGUCCUCACUUUUGAGAUAAAUUGAAACGGAGAGUCAACGAGGCUCCGUCUUGCAGCUACAUCCGGUUAAAUAUGUCAUGUGACUUGAACGCACACACACACACACAGACACACACACACACGCACACACACACACUCAGAGUCUGGUUUGUAGCACCUGCAAAAACAUGCUAUUUACAUAUUUGACAAGAAUGCAGAGGCUCCUUUUGCCCCUGAAAAAAAUCAAAUUUCAAACACAACUUGACUGGUCAUUUCUCCAAAAGACAACCAUGAAGCUCCAUCCAAACCUGAAGCAGGCAGUUGGUGCAUGUGUACAGUAACCUGAGGGGAGUGAGGUGACUGCUUCUGAGGAGAACAUGAGCAGUGAAGAUUUACCUUAGAGCUAGAACAGAGACGUGCACAUGAUUAUACAGGGGCAGGGGCUCAAGUUUUUUCCAGUCGUUUAUACAAUUUGGAAAUUAAUGUGAAAUUAAAAAACAAAGUAUUAAUAGAAAGGUAAUGACUGUCCUGUGUAGGUGACAGUGAUAUCCAAUAGGCUAGGCACUCACGAGGCUGGCUGUGGCAAGUGUAAGUGAAAGCAACACGCACUGGCAGGAAGAACAGCAAACGCCGAUGAAGGAAAAGGGUCUUUGCAGUGAUGGGCGUUACCAAAGAGGGCGAUAGCCAGAGGACACAAAUGGGACGGGGAGGCAGCGCGUUGGGGGGGGGACGCGACACAGCUCGGGCCCGCCAGUGCCCCAACGGGGUCCUAGUUAGGGCCCGAGCGUAGCUGCUAAGCAGCUGCGAGAGCCCUCUUGUUCCUGCAUGUUUCCUUCUUUUGUUAUUAUUAUUAUUUUUCCUCCCCUUUGAACUGGAAAAUGGCCCACUUCCCACUGGCGAAAACUCAUGAAAUUUGGCAGGAAGACCGGGCCUGGUGAAAAAUUUGAUAUUCUGAAGUCGCCCAAACAAUGAAAUGCAAAAUGGCUCCAUAGCGCCCCCUAAGGUGAAAAUUCACACUAUUGACUGUCACGCCUUUACGCUUUGGCAAAAUGACACAAAAAUUGACACACAUAUGUAUCUCAAUAAGAUCUACGAAAAAGUCAGUGCGGGCGUAUCUGUCAAAUUUACGGUUAAAGGGUUAUUUCGCAUUUUUUGCCGAUCCACACACAUCGGAAUUUCGCUAACUCCUCUGAAGACUUUCGUUCCAUCGGAACAACAUUUGCUCAGGUCAAUCUACACCCCAUGGCCAUUAAAAGUUAUUCAAAUCAUGACGCUGCACCCCACGGUUUAGGUUCUAGGGGGCGCCAAAGAUAACCCUAAAAUCCACAUAUUUAAAAGUCUUAUAACUUUUUAUUUUUGUCCUCACUGGCCUCCAAGUUUUCUAGGAUGAUGCAAUGUCCAGCCAUCAACACAUCUGUGAAGGAAUUUUUACUCCCCAAAAGAGCGCCCCCCCAUGGCAGGAGAAAAAAGUCCAUUUUUUCUUGUCCCCUAAGGUGAAAAUACACAUUGUUGAGUGUCACGCCUGUACGCUUUGGCAAAAUGACACAAAAAUUGACACACACAUGUAUCUCAAUAAGAUCUACAAAAAAGUCUAUGCGCGCGUAUCUGUCAAAUGUACGGUUAAAGGGCUAUUUUGCAUUUUUUGCCGAUUCGCACACAUUGGAAUUUCGCUAACUCCUCCGAAGGCUUUCAUUCCACCGGCACCACAUUUGCUCAGGCCAAUCUACACCCCAUGGCCAUUAAAAGUUAUUCAAAUCAUGAUGCUGCACCCCACGGUCUAGGUUCUAGGGGGCGCCAAAAAUAACCCUAAAAUCCACAUAUGUAAAAGUCUUAUAACUUUUUAUUUUUGUCCUCACUGGCCUCCAAGUUUUCUAGGAUGAUGCAAUGUCCAGCCAUCAACACAUUUGUGAAGGAAUUUUUACUCCCCAAAAGAGCGCCCCCCCCCCAUGGCAGGAGAAAAAAGUCCAUUUUUUCUUGUCCCCUAAGGUGAAAAUUCACAUUGUUGAGUGUGACACCUGUACGCUUUGUCAAAAUGACACAAAAAUUGACACACACAUGUAUCUCAAUAAGAUCUACGAAAAAGGAGGAGGAGCAACCUGCCAUUUGGAUAUAUCCUAGCUGUGUUUGUGCCCUCACUCAUGGUCCAGACUUUUUUCAAAUAGGACAUGUAGUUUGUCUGCAGUGAGUGUUUUGGUAGAAACUGCGCCUCCCAUUCAUUAUAAUGGUAAAUGACCACAGACAAGUGCGCACACCAUCUUUGGACCUUGAGUGUGACGCGAUCGGGAGGGGGAGGCGGUCGCACUGGGGGCGGCGCGACGCGGCUCGGGCCCGACAGUGCCCCAACGGGGCCCUAGUUAUUAUUUUUCCUCCCCUUUGAACUGGAAAAUGGCCCACUUCCCACUGGCGAAAACUCAUGAAAUUUGGCAGGACGACCGGGCCUGGUGAAAAAUUUGAUAUUCCGAAGUCGCCCAAACAAGAAAAUGCAAAAUGGCUCCAUAGCGCCCCCUAAGGUGAAAAUUCACACUAUUGACUGUCACGCCUGUACGCUUUGUCAAAAUGACACAAAAAUUGACACACACAUGUAUCUCAAUAAGAUCUACAAAAAAGUCAGUGCGGGCGUAUCUGUCAAAUGUACGGUUAAAGGGUUAUUUCGCAUUUUUUGCCGAUCCGCACACAUUGGAAUUUCGCUAACUCCUCCGAAGGCUUUCGUUCCACCGGCACCACAUUUGCUCAGGCCAAUCUACACCCCAUGGCCAUUAAAAGUUAUUCAAAUCAUGACGCUGCACCCCACGGUUUAGGUUCUAGGGGGCGCCAAAGAUAACCCUAAGAUCCACAUAUUUAAAAGUCUUAUAACUUUUUAUUUUUGCCCUCACUGGCCUCCAAGUUUUCUAGGAUGAUGCAAUGUCCAGCCAUCAACACAUUUGUGAAGGAAUUUUUACUCCCCAAAAGAGCGCCCCCCCAUGGCAGGAGAAAAAAGUCCAUUUUUUCUUGUCCCCUAAGGUGAAAAUACACAUUGUUGAGUGUAACACCUGUACGCUUUGGCAAAAUGACACCAAAAUUGAGACACACAUGUAUCUCAAUAAGAUCUACAAAAAAGUCAAUGCGCACGUAUCUGUCAAAUGUACGGUUAAAGGGUUAUUCCGCAUUUUUUGCCGAUCCGCACACAUUGGAAUUUCGCUAACUCCUCCGAAGGCUUUCGUUCCACCGGCACCACAUUUUCUCAGGCCAAUCUACACCCCAUGGCCAUUAAAAGUUAUUCAAAUCAUGACGCUGCACCCCACGGUUUAGGUUCUAGGGGGCGCCAAAGAUAACCGUAAAAUCCACAUAUUUAAAAGUCUUAUAACUUUUUAUUUAUGUCCCCACUGGCCUCCAAGUUUUCUAGGAUGAUGCAAUGUCCAGCCAUCAACACAUUUGUGAAGGAAUUUUUACUCGCCAAAAGAGCGCCCCCCCAUGGCAGGAGAAAAAAGUCCAUUUUUUCUUGUCCACUAAGGUGAAAAUACACAUUGUUGAGUGCUACGCCUGUAUGUUUUGUCGUAUUGACACAAAAUUUUACAUACACGUGUCUUUCAAUAAGAUCUUCGAAAAAUUCAAUAGCCACGUAUCUGUAAAAUGUACGGUUAAAGGGUUAUUUCGCAUUUUUUGCAGAUUCGCACACAUUGGAAUUUCGCUAACUCCUCCGAAGGCUUUCGUUCCACCGGCACCACAUUUGCUCAGGCCAAUCUACACCCCAUGGCCAUUAAAAGUUGUACAAAUCAUGACGCUGCACCCCACGGUUUAGGUUCUAGGGGGCGCCAAAGAUAACCCUAAAAUCCACAUAUUUAAAAGUCUUAUAACUUUUUAUUUUUGUCCUCACUGGCCUCCAUGUUUUCUAGGAUGAUGCAAUGUCCAGCCAUCAACACAUUUGUGAAGGAGUUUUUUCUCGUUAAAAGAGCGCCCCCCCAUGGCAGGAGAAUAAAGUCAAGUUUUUCCUGUUCAUCAUUCAAUGGCUCAAACGCACUGCUCUCUCGGCAAAAGCGAAAGGAGGAGCAACUUGCCAUUUGGAUAUAUCUUAGCUGUGUUUGUGCCCUCACUCAUGGUCCAGACUUUUUUCAAAUAGGACAUGGAGUUUUUCUGCAGCGAGCGUUUUGGUAGAAACUGCGCCUCCCGUUCAUUAUAAUGGUAAAUGACCACAAACAAGUGCGCACACCAUCUUUGGACCUUGAGUGUGACGCGAUCGGGUGGGGGAGGCGGUCGUGCUGGGGGCGGCGUGACACGGCUCGGGCCCGCCAGUGCCCCAACGGGGCCCUAGUUUGUUAUUAUUAUUUUUCCUCCCCUUUGAACUGGAAAAUGGCCCACUUCCCACUGGCGAAAACUCAUGAAAUUUGGCAGGACGACCGGGCCUGGUGAAAAAUUUGAUAUUCCGAAGUCGCCCAAACAAGAAAAUGCAAAAUGGCUCCAUAGCGCCCCCUAAGGUGAAAAUUCACACUAUUGACUGUCACGCCUGUACGCUUUGUCAAAAUGACACAAAAAUUGACACACACAUGUAUCUCAAUAAGAUCUACAAAAAAGUCAGUGCGGGCGUAUCUGUCAAAUGUACGGUUAAAGGGUUAUUUCGCAUUUUUUGCCGAUCCGCACACAUUGGAAUUUCGCUAACUCCUCCGAAGGCUUUCGUUCCACCGGCACCACAUUUGCUCAGGCCAAUCUACACCCCAUGGCCAUUAAAAGUUAUUCAAAUCAUGACGCUGCACCCCACGGUUUAGGUUCUAGGGGGCGCCAAAGAUAACCCUAAGAUCCACAUAUUUAAAAGUCUUAUAACUUUUUAUUUUUGCCCUCACUGGCCUCCAAGUUUUCUAGGAUGAUGCAAUGUCCAGCCAUCAACACAUUUGUGAAGGAAUUUUUACUCCCCAAAAGAGCGCCCCCCCAUGGCAGGAGAAAAAAGUCCAUUUUUUCUUGUCCCCUAAGGUGAAAAUACACAUUGUUGAGUGUAACACCUGUACGCUUUGGCAAAAUGACACAAAAAUUGACACACACAUGUAUCUCAAUAAGAUCUACGAAAAAGUCAAUGCGCGCGUAUCUGUCAAAUGUACGGUUAAAGGGUUAUUCCGCAUUUUUUGCCGAUCCGCACACAUUGGAAUUUCGCUAACUCCUCCGAAGGCUUUCAUUCCACCGGUACCACAUUUGCUCAGGCCAAUCUACACCCCAUGGCCAUUAAAAGUUAUUCAAAUCAUGACGCUGCAUCCCACGGUUUAGGUUCUAGGGGGCGCCAAAGAUAACCCUAAAAUCCACAUAUUUAAAAGUCUUAUAACUUUUUAUUUUUGUCCUCACUGGCCUCCAAGUUUUCUAGGAUGAUGCAAUGUCCAGCCAUCAACACAUUUGUGAAGGAAUUUUUACUCCCCAAAAGAGCGCCCCCCCAUGGCAGGAAAAAAAAGCCAAUUUUUUCUUGUCCCCUAAGGUGGAAAUUCACACUAUUGACUGUCACGCCUGUACGCUUUAUCAUAUUGACACAAAAAUUGACACACAUAUGUAUCUCAAUAAGAUCUACAAAAGAGUCGAUUCGCGCGUAUCUGUCAAAUGUACGGUUAAAGGGCUAUUUUGCAUUUUUUGCCGAUUCGCACACAUUGGAAUGUGGCUAACUCCUCCUAAGGCUUUCGUCCCACUGACACCAAAUUUGCUCAGGCCAAUCUACACCCCAUGGCCAUUCAAAGUUGUAAAAAUCAUGACGCUGCACCCCACGGUUUACGUUCUACGGGGCGCCAAAGAUGACCCAAAAAUCCACAUUCUUCAAAGAAUCCACAUCUCCCCCCCCCCCCCCCAUAUGGCAGGAGAAAAAGUUAAGUUUUUCCUGCCCAUCGCUCAAUGGCUCAAUCGCAUCGCUCUCCAGGCAACACCGUAAGGAGGAGCAACCUGCCAUUUCGAUAUAUCAUAGCUGUGUUUGUGCCCUCACUCAUGGUCCAGACUUUUUUCAAAUAGGACAUGAAGUUUGUCUGCAGCGAGUGUUUUGGUAGAAACUGCGCCUCCCAUUCAUUAUAAUAGGAAAUGACCACAGACAAGUGCGCACACCAUCUUUGGAUCUUGAGUGUGACGCGAUCGGGAGGGGGAGGCGGUCGCACUGGGGGCGGCGCGACACGGCUCGGGCCCGACAGUGCCCCAACGGGGUCCUAGUUCUUUCUUUCUUCUUUUUCCUCCCCUUUGAACUGGAAAAUGGCCCACUUCCCACUGGCGAAAACUCAUGAAAUUUGGCAGGACGACCGGGCCUGGUGAAAAAUUCGAUAUUCUGAAGUCGCCCAAACAAUAAAAUGCAAAAUGGCUCCAUAGCGCCCCCUAAGGUGGAAAUUCACACUAUUGACUGUCACGCCUGUACGCUUUGUCAUAUUGACACAAAAAUUGACACACAUAUGUAUCUCAAUAAGAUCUACAAAAAAGUCAGUGCGGCCGUAUCUGUCAAAAUUACGGUUAAAGGGUUAUUUCGCAUUUUUUGCCGAUCCGCACACAUUGGAAUUUCGCUAACUCCUCCGAAGGCUUUCGUUCCACCGGCACCACAUUUGCUCAGGCCAAUCUACACCCCGUGGCCAUUAAAAGUUAUCAAAAUCAUGACGCUGCACCCCAAGGUUUAGGUUCUAGGGGGCGCCAAAGAUAACACUAAAAUCCACAUAUUUAAAAGUCUUAUAACUUUUUAUUUUUGUCCUCACUGGCCUCCAAGUUUUCUAGGAUGAUGCAAUGUCCAGCCAUCAACACAUUUGUGAAGGAAUUUUUACUCCCCAAAAGAGCGCCCCCCCAUGGCAGGAGAAAAAAGUCAAUUUUUUCUUGUCCCCUAAGGUGAAAAUACACAUUGUUGAGUGUCACGCCUAUACGCUUUGUCAAAAUGACACAAAAAUUGACACACACAUGUAACUCAAUAAGAUCUACAAAAAAGUCCAUGCGCGCGUAUCUGUCAAAUGUACAGUUAAAGGGUUAUUCCGCAUUUUUUGCCGAUACGCACACAUUGGAAUUUCGCUAACUCCUCCGAAGGCUUUCGUUCCACCGGCACCACAUUUGCUCAGGCCAAUCUACACCCCAUGGCCAUUAAAAGUUAUUCAAAUCAUGAUGCUGCACCCCAUGGUUUAGGUUCUAGGGGGCGCCAAAAAUAACCCAAAAAUCCACAUUCUUAAAUGUUUUAUAACUUUUUAUUUUUGUCCUCACUGGCCUCCAAGUUUUCUAGGAUGAUGCAAUGUCCAGCCAUCAACACAUUUGUGAAGGAAUUUUUACUCCCCAAAAGAGCGCCCCCCCAUGGUAGGAGAAAAAAGUCAAUUUUUUCUUGUCCCCUUACAUAAAAAUACACAUUGUUGAGUGUCACGCCUGAACGCUUUGUCAUAUUGACACAAAAAUUGACAAUCACGUGUAUCUCAAUUAGAUCUACGAAAAAGUCAAAGAGCGCGUAUCUGUAUAAUGUACGGUUAAAGGGCUAUUUUGCAUUUUUUGCCGAUUCGCACACAUUGGAAUGUGGCUAUCUCCUCCUAAGGCUUUCGUCCCACCGAUACCAAAUUUGCUCAGGGCAAUCUACACCCCAUGCCCAUUCAAAGUUGUAAAAAUCAUGACGCUGCACCCCACGGUUUACGUUCUAGGGGGCGCCAAAGAUGACCCAAAAAUCCACAUUCUUAAAAGUCAUUUUGGCCACUGCAGGAGUACAGAGUACUGCAGUUCUAGGGGGCGCCAAAGAUGACCCAAAAAUCCACAUUCUUAAAAGUCUUUUUGGCCACUGCAGGAGUACAGAGUACUGCAGGAUACACACACAUAUACACACACGCCAACAUACACACACACACACACACACACACACACACACACACACACACACACACGCACACAGACACACACACACACACACACACACACACACACACUCAGAGUCUGUUUUUUAGCACCUGCAAAAACAUGCUGUUUACAUAUUUGACAAGAAUGCAGAGGCUUCCUUUUGCCCCUGAAAAAAAUCAAAUUUCAAACACAACUUGACUGUUCAUUUCUCCAAAAGACAACCAUGAAGCUCCAUUUCAAACCUGAAGCAGAUAGUUGGUGCAUGUGUACAGUAACCUGAGGGGAGUGAGGUGACUAUUUCUGAGGAGAACAUGAGCAGUGAAGAUUCACCUUGGAGCUAGAACAGCGACGUGCACAUGAUUAUACAGGGGCAGGGGCUCAAGUUUUUUCCAGUCAUUUAUACAAUAUGGAAAUUAAUGUGAAAUUAAACCACAAAUAUGUGUGAUGAACUGUUUUUAAAACUUAAACUUCAAAUAAAAAUUGUAAACUUCAAAACAUAUGCAAAUUUUUAACAAAGAACAUAGUAAUUUACCUCUAUUUACAUCAAAAUGCAGGCAAUGGCCCAGGCGUUCUUUGUAAAAUUAUUUACAAAACACUGUAUAGUCUCACAAAUCUCACUUUUUAUUUAUGCCACUACAAAAAAACAUGAUGUAAAUGAUGCAUGAUGUAAAACAUGAUGUAAAAAACUUGUGUAGAUCCUCCUCUAUGUCAGUCCAUGUGUAAUUUUUCCAUAAUUCUUUGUUUUUUGCAGCAUUUUUGUUAGUGUAACUGCAGAUUGUGCUGACAGUGUCUAUGGCACAAAAAAAAAAAAAAAUUAAAAUGCCUCAACAUGAACCCCUGGUGGUCUCUGAGGGUGAAACCUGCUAACUGCUGCAGCUCUGUCAGCUUCAGUCUCCCAUGCAGAGCUCUGAGCGCAUGUGUGGCUCUGCACCCUUAGCAGCGUUGCUAACUCCUCAGUAAGGAAAGCCUGCUUCAUGUCAGAGUCUCUAAACUCCAGAAGAAGUCGAUAAAAGUCCCUUUCUUUCUAAAAAAAGUCGUUAGGGGGUCUGAAAAGUCAUUGAAUCUAACAACAAAGUCGCUAGGUUUGCAACUACGUGUCCCAGACUGCAUCCCUGCUGAGAGUCCCUCCCUCGCUUCUCAUGUUGCAGGAAGAACGUAAGCGCCCGCCCCUUGUCAAUCAGUCACCAUAUAAUUUUGGAUUGGUUGUUGUGGUGAAGUUUUCCACCAAUAGGAGAGAUGUUGUGGUGUGUUUUUUUUUUCUUUUGGCAAGCCUUUUCCGCCUGUAAGACCUGUCGCUAAUGUCUGCAUGCUAUGUUUUCCUGUCUCAUACAGCGCGAUCGAGCGCCGAACGUGAUCAAAAUAAGCAGAAAAAAAGUAUCGCGGACAUAAUUUAUCAUAACUCUGGUUUUAUUUGGCCUAUCAACACAAUUUAAAAACUGGUAUAUAGGUUGAGGUCCUCACUUUUGAGAUAAGUUGAAACGGAGAGUCAACGAGGCUCCGUCUUGCAGCUACAUCCGGUUAAAUAUGUCAUGUGACUUGAACGCACACGCAGACACACACACGCACACACACACACACACUCAGAGUCUGGUUUUUAGCACCUGCAAAAACAUGCUAUUUACAUAUUUGACAAGAAUGCAGAGGCUCCUUUUGCCCCUGAAAAAAAUCAAAUUUCAAACACAACUUGACUGGUCAUUUCUCCAAAAGACAACCAUGAAGCUCCAUCCAAACCUGAAGCAGGCAGUUGGUGCAUGUGUACAGUAACCUGAGGGGAGUGAGGUGAGUGCUUCUGAGGAGAACAUGAGCAGUGUAGAUUCACCUUGGAGCUAGAACAGAGACAUGCACAUGAUUAUACAGGGGCAGGGGCUCAAGUUUUUUCCAGUCGUUUAUACAAUAUGGAAAUUAAUGUGAAAUUAAAACACAAAGUAUUAAUAGAAAGGUAAUGACUGUCCUGUGUAGGUGACAGUGAUAUCCAAUAGGCUAGGCACUCACGAGGCUGGCUGUGGCAAGUGUAAGUGAAAGCAACACGCACUGGCAGGAAGAACAGCAAACGCCGAUGAAGGAAAAGGGUCUUUGCAGUGAUGGGCGUUAACAGAGAGGGCGAUGGCCAGAGGACACAAAUGGGACGGGGAGGCAGCGCGUUGGGGGGGGGACGCGACACAGCUCGGGCCCGCCAGUGCCCCAACGGGGUCCUAGUUAGGGCCCGAGCCAGCUGCAGAGCAGCCGGGCGUAGGCCCUAUUAUUCCCCAAGUGGUUUUUCUUUGUUUCUUUCUUUCUUUAGGGCCCGAGCCAGCUGCAGAGCAGCCGGGCGUAGGCCCUAUUAUUCCCCAAGUGGUUUUUCUUUGUUUCUUUCUUUCUUUUUUCUUUUUCCUCCCCUUUGAACUGGAAAAUGGCCCACUUCCCACUGGCGAAAACUCAUGAAAUUUGGCAGGACGACCGGGCCUGGUGAAAAAUUUGAUAUUCUGAAGUCGCCAAAACAAUAAAAUGCAAAAUGGCUCCAUAGCGCCCCCUAAGGUGAAAAUUCACACUAUUCACUGUCACGACUGUACGCUUUGUCAAAAUGACACAAAAAUUGACACACAUAUGUAUCUCAAUAAGAUCUACAAAAAAGUCAGUGCGGCCGUAUCUGUCAAAAUUACGGUUAAAGGGUUAUUACGCAUUUUUUGCCGAUCCGCACACAUUGGAAUUUCGCUAACUCCUCCGAAGGCUUUCGUUCCACCGGCACCACAUUUGCUCAGGCCAAUCUACACCCCAUGGCCAUUAAAAGUUAUCAAAAUCAUGACGCUGCACCCCAAGGUUUAGGUUCUAGGGGGCGCCAAAGAUAACACUAAAAUCCACAUAUUUAAAAGUCUUAUAACUUUUUAUUUUUGUCCUCACUGGCCUCCAAGUUUUCUAGGAUGAUGCAAUGUCCAGCCAUCAACACAUUUGUGAAGGAAUUUUUACUCCCCAAAAGAGCGCCCCCCCAUGGCAGGAGAAAAAAGUCCAUUUUUUCUUGUCCCCCAAGGUGAAAAUACACAUUGUUGAGUGUCACGCCUAUACGCUUUGUCAAAAUGACACAAAAAUUGACACACACAUGUAUCUCAAUAAGAUCUACGAAAAAGUCAAUGCGCGCGUAUCUGUCAAAUGUACGGUUAAAGGGUUAUUCCGCAUUUUUUGCCGAUCCGCACACAUUGGAAUGUGGCUAACUCCUCCUAAGGCUUUCGUUCCACCGGCACCACAUUUGCUCAGGCCAAUCUACACCCCAUGGCCAUUAAAAGUUAUUCAAAUCAUGACGCUGCACCCCACGGUUUAGGUUCUAGGGGGCGCCAAAGACAACCCUAAAAUCCACAUAUUUAAAAGUCUUAUAACUUUUUAUUUUUGUCCUCACUGGCCUCCAAGUUUUCUAGGAUGAUGCAAUGUCCAGCCAUCAACACAUUUGUGAAGGAAUUUUUACUCCCCAAAAGAGCGCCCCCCCAUGGCAGGAGAAAAAAGUCCAUUUUUUCUUGUCCCCCAAGGUGAAAAUACAUAUUGUUGAGAUUCACGCCUAUACGCUUUGUCAUAAUGACACAAAAUUUGACAAUCACGUGCCUUGCCUGGUAUCAUUUUUUUUCAGCACAACCUCACCUGUGCGAAUUUACAGUUAUUUUAUCAUGUUGACAUACUGAAUUUACACAAUGGACCCAAAUUCACACACAAAACAUAAAAUCCGAGUGGAAAAAAGUAACAUUUUUACUGUGAAAACCACAAAUAUGUGUGAUGAACUGUUUUUAAAACUUAAACUUCAAAUAAAAAUUGUAAACUUCAAAACAUAUGCAAAUUUUUAACAAAGAACAUAGUGAUUUACCUCUAUUUACAUCAAAAUGCAGGCAAUGGCCCAGGCGUUCUUUGUAAAAUUAUUUACAAAACACUGUAUAGUCUCACAAAUGUCACUUUUUAUUUAUGCCACUACAAAAAACAUGAUGUAAAUGAUGCAUGAUGUAAAACAUGAUGUAAAAAACUUGUGUAGAUCCUCCUCUAUGUCAGUCCAUGUGUAAUUUUUCCAUAAUUCUUUGUUUUUUGCAGCAUUUUUGUUAGUGUAACUGCAGAUUGUGCUGACAGUGUCUAUGGCACAAAAAAAAAAAAAAUUAAAAUGCCUCAACAUAAACCCCUGGUGGUCUCUGAGGGUGAAACCUGCUAACUGCUGCAGCUCUGUCAGCUUCAGUCUCCCAUGCAGAGCUCUGAGCGCAUGUGUGGCUCUGCACCCUUAGCAGCGUUGCUAACUCCUCAGUAAGGAAAGCCUGCUUCAUGUCAGAGUCUCUAAACUCCAGAAGAAGUCGAUAAAAGUCCCUUUCUUUCUAAAAAAAAGUUGUUAGUGGGUCUGAAAAGUCAUUGAAUCUAACAACAAAGUCGCUAGGUUUGCAACUACGUGUCCCAGACUGCAUCCCUGCUGAGAGUCCCUCCCUCCCUUCUCAUGUUGCAGGAAGAACGUAAGCGCCCUCCCCUUGUCAAUCAGUCACCAUAUAAUUUUGGAUUGGUUGUUGUGGUGAAGUUUUCCACCAAUAGGAGAGAUGUUGUGGUGUGUUUUUUUUUCUUUUGGCAAGCCUUUUCCGCCUGUAAGACCUGUCGCUAAUGUCUGCAUGCUAUGUUUUCCUGUCUCAUACAGCGCGAUCGAGCGCCGAACGUGAUCAAAAUAAGCAGAAAAAAAGUAUCGCGGACAUAAUUUAUCAUAACUCUGGUUUUAUUUGGCCUAUCAACACAAUUUAAAAACUGGUAUAUAGGUUGAGGUCCUCACUUUUGAGAUAAGUUGAAACGGAGAGUCAACGAGGCUCCGUCUUGCAGCUACAUCCGGUUAAAUAUGUCAUGUGACUUGAACGCACACACACACACAGACACACACACUCAGAGUCUGGUUUUUAGCACCUGCAAAAACAUGCUAUUUACAUAUUUGACAAGAAUGCAGAGGCUCCUUUUGCCCCUGAAAAAAAUCAAAUUUCAAACACAACUUGACUGGUCAUUUUUCUUCAAAAGACAACCAUGAAGCUCCAUCCAAACCUGAAGCAGGCAGUUGGUGCAUGUGUACAGUAACCUGAGGGGAGUGAGGUGAGUGCUUCUGAGGAGAACAUGAGCAGUGAAGAUUCACCUUGGAGCUAGAACAGAGACAUGCACAUGAUUAUACAGGGGCAGGGGCUCAAGUUUUUUCCAGUCGUUUAUACAAUAUGGAAAUUAAUGUGAAAUUAAAACACAAAGUAUUAAUAGAAAGGUAAUGACUGUCCUGUGUAGGUGACAGUGAUAUCCAAUAGGCUAGGCGCUCACGAGGCUGGCUGUGGCAAGUGUAAGUGAAAGCAACACGCACUGGCAGGAAGAACAGCAAACGCCGAUGAAGGAAAAGGGUCUUUGCAGUGAUGGGCGUUACCAGAGAGGGCGAUGGCCAGAGGACACAAAUGGGACGGGGAGGCAGCACGUUGGGGGGGGGGGGGGCGACACGGCUCGGGCCCGCCAGUGCCCCAACGGGGUCCUAGUGUUAUUAUUAGGGCCCGAGCGUAGCUGCUAAGCAGCUGCGAGAGCCCUCUUGUUAGGGCCCGAGCGUAGCUGCUAAGCAGCUGCGAGAGCCCUAUUAUUCCCCAAGUGGUUUUUCUUUGUUUCUUUUUUCUUUUUCCUCCCCUUUGAACUGGAAAAUGGCCCACUUCCCACUGGCGAAAACUCAUGAAAUUUGGCAGGACGACCGGGCCUGGUGAAAAAUUUGAUAUUCCGAAGUCGCCCAAACAAGAAAAUGCAAAAUGGCUCCAUAGCGCCCCCUAAGGUGAAAAUUCACACUAUUGACUGUCACGCCUGUACGCUUUGUCAUAUUGACACAAAAUUUGACACACACAUGUAUCUCAAUAAGAUCUACAAAAAAGUCAGUGCGGGCGUAUCUGUAAAAUGUACGGUUAAAGGGUUAUUUCGCAUUUUUUGCCGAUCCGCACACAUUGGAAUUUCGCUAACUCCUCCGAAGGCUUUCGUUCCACCGGCACCACAUUUGCUCAGGCCAAUCUACACCCCAUGGCCAUUAAAAGUUAUUCAAAUCAUGACGCUGCACCCCACGGUUUAGGUUCUAGGGGGCGCCAAAGAUAACCCUAAAAUCCACAUAUUUCAAAGUCUUAUAACUUUUUAUUUUUGCCCUCACUGGCCUCCAAGUUUUCUAGGAUGAUGCAAUGUCCAGCCAUCAACACAUUUGUGAAGGAAUUUUUACUCCCCAAAAGAGCGCCCCCCCAUGGCAGGAGAAAAAAGUCCAUUUUUUCUUGUCCCCUAAGGUGAAAAUACACAUUGUUGAGUGUCACGCCUGUACGCUUUGUCAAAAUGACACAAAAAUUGACACACACAUGUAUCUCAAUAAGAUCUACAAAAAAGUCAAUGAGCGCGUAUCUGUCAAAUGUACGGUUAAAGGGUUAUUCCGCAUUUUUUGCCGAUUCGCACACAUUGGAAUUUCGCUAACUCCUCCGAAGGCUUUCGUUCCACCGGCACCACUUUUGCUCAGGCCAAAUUACACCCCAUGGCCAUUAAAAGUUAUUCAAAUCAUGACGCUGCACCCCACGGUUUACGUUCUAGGGGGCGCCAAAGAUAACCCAAAAAUCCACAUUUUUAAAAGUCUUAUAACUUUUUAUUUUUGUCCUCACUGGCCUCCAAGUUUUCUAGGAUGAUGCAAUGUCCAGCCAUCAACACAUUUGUGAAGGAAUUUUUACUCCCUAAAAGAGCGCCCCCCCAUGGCAGGAGAAAAAAGUCCAUUUUUUCUUGUCCCCUAAGGUGAAAAUACACAUUGUUGACUGUCACGCCUGUACGCUUUGGCAAAAUGACACAAAAAUUGACAAUCAUGUGUAUCUCAAUUAGAUCUACGAAAAAGUCAAAGAGCGCGUAUCUGUCAAAUGUACGGUAAAAGGGCUAUUUUGCAUUUUUUGCCGAUUCGCACACAUUGGAAUUUCGCUAACUCCUCCUAAGGCUUUCGUCCCACUGACACCAAAUUUGCUCAGGCCAAUCUACACUCCAUGGCCAUUCAAAGUUGUAAAAAUCAUGACGCUGCACCCCACGGUUUACGUUUUAGGGGGCGCCAAAGAUGACCCAAAUAUACAUUACAGUAGACAAAGUAGUUUUGCCCACUGAGUGGCGCCAAAGGGACUUGUCUGUGGAGUCUGUGAGUCACUAUUGGCCGUUUUUGACUACUUUAGAUUUUACCUUUAUAUUUCCUCUUACAAAAUUUUUACCUUGCCUUGCCUGGUAUCAUUUUUUUCAGCACAACCUCACCUGUGUCAAUUUACAGUUAUUUUAUCAUUUUGACAUACUAUAUUUACACAUUGGACCCAAAUUCACACACAAAACAUAAAAUCCGAGUGGAAAAAAGUAACGUUUUUACUGUGAAAACCACAAAUAUGUGUGAUGAACUGUUUUUAAAACUUAAACUUCAAAUAAAAAUUGUAAACUUCAAAACAUAUGCAAAUUUUUAACAAAGAACAUAGUAAUUUACCUCUAUUUACAUCAAAAUGCAGGCAAUGGCCCAGGCGUUCUUUGUAAAAUUAUUUACAAAACACUGUAUAGUCUCACAAAUGUCACUUUUUAUUUAUGCCACUACAAAAAAACAUGAUGUAAAUGAUGCAUGAUGUAAAACAUGAUGUAAAAAACUUGUGUAGAUCCUCCUCUAUGUUAGUCCAUGUGUAAUUUUUCCAUAAUUCUUUGUUUUUUGCAGCAUUUUUGUUAGUGUAACUGCAGAUUGUGCUGACAGUGUCUAUGGCAAAAAAAAAAAAAAAACUGAAAAUGCCUCAACAUGAACCCCUGGUGGUCUCUGAGGGUGAAACCUGCUAACUGCUGCAGCUCUGUCAGCUUCAGUCUCCCAUGCAGAGCUCGGAGCGCAUGUGUGGCUCUGCACCCUAAGCAGCGUUGCUAACUCCUCAGUAAGGAAAGCCUGCUUCAUGUCAGAGUCUCUAAACUCCAGAAGAAGUCGAUAAAAGUCACUUUCUCUCUAAAAAAAAGUCGUUAGGGGGUCUGAAAAGUCAUUGAAUCUAACAACAAAGUCGCUAGGUUUGCAACUACGUGUCCCAGACUGCAUCCCUGCUGAGAGUCCCUCCCUCCCUUCUCAUAUUGCAGGAAGAACGUAAGCGCCCGCCCCUUGUCAAUCAGUCACCAUAUAAUUUUGGAUUGGUUGUUGUGGUGAAGUUUUCCACCAAUAGGAGAGAUGUUGUGGUGUGUUUUUUUUUUCCUUUGGCAAGCCUUUUCCGCCUGUAAGACCUGUCGCUAAUGUCUGCAUGCUAUGUUUUCCUGUCUCAUACAGCGCGAUCGAGCGCCGAACGUGAUCAAAAUAAGCAGAAAACAAGUAUCGCGGACAUAAUUUAUCAUAACUCUGGUUUUAUUUGGCCUAUCAACACAAUUUAAAAACUGGUAUAUAGGUUGAGGUCCUCACUUUUGAGAUAAGUUGAAACGGAGAGUCAACGAGGCUCCGUCUUGCAGCUACAUCCGGUUAAAUAUGUCAUGUGACUUGAACGCACACACACACACACACACACAGACACGCACACACACACACGCACACACACACACUCAGAGUCUGGUUUUUAGCACCUGCAAAAACAUGCUAUUUACAUAUUUGACAAGAAUGCAGAGGCUCCUUUUGCCCCUGAAAAAAAUCAAAUUUCAAACACAACUUGACUGGUCAUUUCUCCAAAAGACAACCAUGAAGCUCCAUCCAAACCUGAAGCAGGCAGUUGGUGCAUGUGUACAGUAACCUGAGGGGAGUGAGGUGACUGCUUCUGAGGAGAACAUGAGCAGUGAAGAUUCACCUUAGAGCUAGAACAGAGACGUGCACAUGAUUAUACAGGGGCAGGGGCUCAAGUUUUUUCCAGUUGUUUAUACAAUAUGGAAAUUAAUGUGAAAUUAAAAAACAAAGUAUUAAUAGAAAGGUAAUGACUGUCCUGUGUAGGUGACAGUGAUAUCCAAUAGGCUAGGCACUCACGAGGCUGGCUGUGGCAAGUGUAAGUGAAAGCAACACGCACUGGCAGGAAGAACAGCAAACGCAGAUGAAGGAAAAGGGUCUUUGCAGUGAUGGGCGUUACCAGAGAGGGCGAUGGCCAGAGGACACAAAUGGGACGGGGAGGCAGCGCGUUGGGGGGGGACGCGACACAGCUCGGGCCCGCCAGUGCCCCAACGGGGUCCUAGUUUUUCUUUUUCCUCCCCUUUGAACUGGAAAAUGGCCCACUUCCCACUGGCGAAAACUCAUGAAAUUUGGCAGGAUGACCGGGCCUGGUGAAAAAUUCGAUAUUCUGAAGUCGCCCAAACAAUAAAAUGCAAAAUGGCUCCAUAGCGCCCCCUAAGGUGGAAAUUCACACUAUUGACUGUCACGCCUGUACGCUUUGUCAUAUUGACACAAAAAUUGACACACAUAUGUAUCUCAAUAAGAUCUACAAAAAAGUCAGUGCGGCCGUAUCUGUCAAAAUUACGGUUAAAGGGUUAUUUCGCAUUUUUUGCCGAUCUGCACACAUUGGAAUUUCGCUAACUCCUCCGAAGGCUUUCGUUCCACCGGCACCACAUUUGCUCAGGCCAAUCUACACCCCGUGGCCAUUAAAAGUUAUCAAAAUCAUGACGCUGCACCCCAAGGUUUAGGUUCUAGGGGGCGCCAAAGAUAACACUAAAAUCCACAUAUUUAAAAGUCUUAUAACUUUUUAUUUUUGUCCUCACUGGCCUCCAAGUUUUCUAGGAUGAUGCAAUGUCCAGCCAUCAACACAUUUGUGAAGGAAUUUUUACUCCCCAAAAGAGCGCCCCCCAUGGCAGGAGAAAAAAGUCCAUUUUUUCUUGUCCCCUAAGGUGAAAAUACACAUUGUUGAGUGUCACGCCUAUACGCUUUGUCAAAAUGACACAAAAAUUGACACACACAUGUAACUCAAUAAGAUCUACGAAAAAGUCAAUGCGCGCGUAUCUGUCAAAUGUACGGUUAAAGGGUUAUUUCGCAUUUUUUGCCGAUCCGCACACAUUGGAAUUUCGCUAACUCCUCCGAAGGCUUUCGUUCCACCGGCACCACAUUUGCUCAGGCCAAUCUACACCCCGUGGCCAUUAAAAGUUAUCAAAAUCAUGACGCUGCACCCCACGGUUUACGUUCUAGGGGGCGCCAAAGAUAACCCUAAAAUCCACAUAUUUAAAAGUCUUAUAACUUUUUAUUUUUGUCCUCACUGGCCUCCAAGUUUUCUAGGAUGAUGCAAUGUCCAGCCAUCAACACAUUUGUGAAGGAAUUUUUACUCCCCAAAAGAGCGCCCCCCCAUGGCAGGAGAAAAAAGUCCAUUUUUUCUUGUCCCCUAAGGUGAAAAUACAUAUUGUUGAGAUUCACGCCUAUACGCUUUGUCAUAUUGACACAAAAUUUGACAAUCACAUGUAUCUCAAUCAGAUCUACGAAAAAGUCUAUGCGCGCGUAUCUGUAAAAUGUACGGUUAAAGGGCUAUUUUGCAUUUUUUGCCGAUUCGCACACAUUGGAAUGUGGCUAACUCCUCCUAAGGCUUUCGUCCCACUGACACCAAAUUUGCUCAGGCCAAUCUACACCCCAUGGCCAUUCAAAGUUGUAAAAAUCAUGACGCUGCACCCCACGGUUUACGUUCUAGGGGGCGCCAAAGAUGACCCAAAUAUCCACAUUCUUAAAAGAAUCCACAUCCCCCCCCAUCCCCCAUCCCCCAUGGCAGGAGAAACAGUCAAGUUUUUCCUGCCCAUCACUCAAUGGCUCAUUCGCAUCACUCUCCCGGCAACACCGUAACGAGGAGCAACUUGCCGUUUGGAUAUAUCCUAGCUGUGUUUGUGCCCUCACUCAUGGUCCAGACUUUUUUCAAAAAGGACAUGUAGUUUGUCUGCAGCGAGUGUUUUGGUAGAAACUGCGCCUCCCAUUCAUUAUAAUGGGAAAUGACCA